CGCCUCAGCAACAGCCCCUCCUGCGCGUCACGGACGUGGCGACUCAUGACGUCAUAGGAAGGCGCCGGUUGUCGGCGGGGUCUGCACGUGUGCAGGGGUGUGGAAACUUACCCGCUGAGGCAUGGAUACACCGCUAAGGCGCAGCCGACGGCUGGGAGGCCUAAGGCCCGAAUCCCCCGAGAGCCUCACCUCAGUUUCGCGGGUGAGACGGGCCCUUGUGGAGUUGCAGUCGAACCCAGAAGAAACAAGGGAGCCUGGGUCUCCUCCUAGUGUGCAGCAAGCUGGCCUGGGGUCCCCGGAAAGACCGCCGGAGACAAGCCCAGGAUCACCCCGUCUGCCACAGGGUGCAGGCUUGGAGUCCCCCCAAGUGCAGCCAGAGCCAGGCCCAGGGUCCCCCCAGCGUCAGCAAGACCUACACCUGGAGUCGCCUCAAAGACAGCCGGAGUCCCGUCCUGAAUCCCCACGAUGUCAGCCGAAGUCAAGUGAGGAGGCAUCAAAGUGUUCUCAGGACCAGGGAGUACUGGCCUCGGAGUUGGCCCAGAGUAAGGAGGAGCUGACCCCGGGGGCCCCCCAGCAUCAGCUACCGCCGGGCCCAGGAUCACCAGAGCCUUACCCCGGUCAGCAAGCUCCCGGUCCGGAGCCCUCUCAGCCACUACUGGAGCUGACACCCAAGGCACCUGGCUCCCCGCGGGGUCAGCAUGAGCCGAGCAAGCCACCUCCAGCUGGGGAGACGGUGACAGGCGGCCUCGGGGCAAAGAAGCGAAAAGGUUCUUCAUCCCAGGCCCCAGCGUCCAAGAAGUUGAACAAAGAGGAGCUUCCUGUAAUCCCGAAGGGGAAGCCCAAAUCGGGGCGAGUUUGGAAGGACCGCUCCAAGAAAAGGUGAAGUAGGGGACAGCUUGGACAGGGGUGGCGUUCUCUAUGGUGUUGGGACCCCGCCUUUGCCCUGCUGCAGCCUGGAGAAUAGCCCCAGGGUUAGAG